GUGUUCACUGCAGCAGCACAUACACUAAAAUUGGAAUGAUACAGAGAAGGUUAGCAUGGCCCUUGUACGAGGAUGGCAAAUUCAUGAAACAUUCAUUCCAUAUUUAA
rnacentral:snRNA from 1 species